AUCCCUAUGGCACAGUGGUAGCGCACUUUGCUCUUGUGUAUAGGGCAACUUAUGCAUGUCCCAUGCAGCAAGUUGUCCUGUAUAGUGUCAGAGAGGUUAGGGGUUCAAUUCCUCCUAGGGGCA